rnacentral:rRNA from 1 species
AUUGAACGCUGGCGGCAGGCUUAACACAUGCAAGUCGAGCGAGCGGCGGACGGGUGAGUAAUGUCUGGGAAACUGCCUGAUGGAGGGGGAUAACUACUGGAAACGGUAGCUAAUACCGCAUACCAUCAGAUGUGCCCAGAUGGGAUUAGCUCGUAGGUGGGGUAAUGGCUCACCUAGGCGACGAUCACUAGCUGGUCUGGAAGGAUGACAAGGAAAACUGGAACGUGGACACGGUCCAGACUCCUACGGGAGGCAGCAGUGGGGAAUAUUGCACGAUGGGCGCAAGCCUGAUGCAGGCAUGCCGCGUGUGUGAAGAAGGCCUUCAGGUUGUAAAGCACUUUCAGCGAGGAGGCGUUACUCGCAGAAGAAGCACCGGCUAACUACGUGCCAGCAGCCGCGGUAAUUC